rnacentral:piRNA from 1 species
UCAUAUGGUAAAUUGGAACUGGGAC